UACAGAGGGGGCAAGCGUUGUUCGGAAUUACUGGGCGUAAAGGGCGCGUAGGCGGCCUGUUAAGUCGAACGUGAAAUCCCUAGGCUCAACCUAGGAACUGCGUCCGAUACUGGCAGGCUUGAAUCCGGGAGAGGGAUGCGGAAUUCCAGGUGUAGCGGUGAAAUGCGUAGAUAUCUGGAGGAAUACCGGUGGCGAAGGCGGCAUCCUGGACCGGCAUUGACGCUGAGGAGCGAAAGCCAGGGGAGCAAACGGG
rnacentral:rRNA from 1 species